UACGGAGGGUGCAAGCGUUGUCCGGAAUCACUGGGCGUAAAGGGCGCGUAGGCGGCUCGGUAAGUCGGGGGUGAAAUCCUGCGGCUUAACCGCAGGGCUGCCUUCUAAACUGUCGAGCUUGAGCACGGUAGAGGCAGAUGGAAUUCCCGGUGUAGCGGUGGAAUGCGUAGAGAUCGGGAAGAACAUCAGUGGCGAAGGCGGUGUGCUGGGCCGUUGCUGACGCUGAGGCGCGACAGCGUGGGGAGCAAACAGG
rnacentral:rRNA from 1 species